rnacentral:misc_RNA from 1 species
GGUGAACUUGCUAUUAGGUUAACAAGUGAAAAAAUUAUCUUACAAUAUGAAGUGAUAACGGGGUACUGGUUUUUUUAUGUCACUGGUGUGUUAUGAUAAUUUUAAAAAAGAUAGCAUGCAUUUAGUAUCUUCAUGAAUUUAUCGUCUUAUCCUUUCUUAUUUUCUGCUUUGGGGAUUGGGGUGAUACAUGAGGUUAUCCUUGAGGUCCUUGUCAUUUCACAAAUUCCUUUAUUCCGUUUUAACUUUUAAGUCACG